GACGAACGCUGGCGGCGUGCUUAACACAUGCAAGUCGAACGGAAAGGCCCUGCUUUUGUGGGGUGCUCGAUUGGCGAACGGGUGAGUAACACGUGAGUAACCUGCCCUUGUCUUUGGGAUAACUUCAGGAAACUGGGCCUAAUACCGGAUAGGAGCUCCUGCUGCAUGGUGGGGGUUGGAAAGUUUCGGCGUUUGGGGAUGGACUCGCGGCUUAUCAGCUUGUUGGUGGGGUAGUGGCUUACCAAGGCUUUGACGGAUAGCCGGCCUGAGAGGUGGACCGGCCACAAUGGGACUGAGAGACGGCGCAGACGCCUACGGGAGGCAGAAGUGGGGAGUAUUGCACAAUGGGCGGAAGCCUGAGGCAGAAACGCCGGGUGCGGGAUGACGGCCUUCGGGUUGAAAACAGCUGUCGCCUGUGACGAAGAGUGAGUGACGGUAAUGGGUAAAGAAGCACCGGCUAACUACGUG
rnacentral:rRNA from 1 species